rnacentral:tRNA from 1 species
GGGGAUGUAGCUUAGCAACAUAAGUGCCUGCCUGGCAAGCGUGAGGUCUUGAGUUCGAUUCCCAGUACCCUCG